rnacentral:rRNA from 1 species
UACGUAGGGUGCAAGCGUUGUCCGGAAUUAUUGGGCGUAAAGAGCUCGUAGGCGGUCUGUCGCGUCGGCUGUGAAAACCCGGAGCUCAACUCCGGGCCUGCAGUCGAUACGGGCAGACUGGAGUUCGGCAGGGGAGACUGGAAUUCCUGGUGUAGCAGUGAAAUGCGUAGAGAUCAGGAGGAAUACCGAUGGCGAAGGCAGGUCUCUGGGCUGAUACUGACGCUCAUGCACGAAAGCGUGGGGAGCAAACAGG